AUUGUAACACUGUUUUCCGUACAAUCACCGAAGUUAAGCAACGUUGAGCCUGGUCAGUACCUAGAUCGGUGUCCGCUUGAGAUUACCAUGAGCUGUAA